rnacentral:misc_RNA from 1 species
AACGGUCUAUACCUGCGGUACCUGCGGAGGGAUCAUUAAUGAGAAACUGCCCCUCGCGGGUAGAUCUCCCACCCUUUGUAAACUUACCUUUGUUGCUUUGGCAGGCCCGUCUCCGGACCGCCGGCUUCGGCUGGCCAGUGCCUGCCAGAGGAUUCUAAAACUCUGUCUGUCAGUGUUGUCUGAGUCUAUAUACAAUCGUUAAAACUUUCAGCAACGGAUCUCUAGAUCGGAAGAGCACAC